UUUCCAUUUAAAUAGAGACAUUGGUUUAGAAUUUUCCAACAGAAAUUCUUCCACGUACAUUUUGUUUAAAAUAAUUUAAGAAAAGAUUUCUUUAAAUAUCGAAUAAUUUCAAUUUUUUGGAAAAAUGAAACUGUUAUUAAUUCAAAUAGUAAUAUUAAUGUGUGUUUUAAUGUCAGUGAACGUCAAUUCACAGGGACCGAUCGCGGUGCCUAUCUUUUGGCCUGAUUCCUAUAAAAACAAGAAUAAAGCAAAAAGUGAAACAUCAACACCUAAAGCUGCAUUAUCUAGUCAGUCUAAAGACACGCAACAGAAAAGAAAUGCAGGUUCUAUAAAAAGGAAUGUGAUACCAGCAUAUGGUACUUCAAAUGACGAUAACGGUUGGAUUGCAAAUAUGGGACGUAGUUUAUAUUAUUAAACUAUUGUUUUGAAAAUAUUCAAUGAAUUUGUAUUCAUUUUGUAUAAUUACAAAAAUUUUGCAUUGAAUAAAGAAAAUUAUUUCAAUUGAAA